rnacentral:rRNA from 1 species
AGAUUGAACGCUGGCGGCAUGCCUAACACAUGCAAGUCGAACGGGAGUAGCAAUACUCUAGUGGCGGACGGGUGAGGAAUACGUAGGAAUUUGCCCUUAAGUGGGGGAUAACCCGGGGAAACCCGGAUUAAUACCGCAUGACCUCGAAAGAGCAAAGUGGGGGAUCGCAAGACCUCACGCUUUUGGAGAAGCCUACGUCGGAUUAGCUAGUUGGUGAGGUAAUGGCUCACCAAGGCGACGAUCCGUAACUGGUCUGAGAGGAUGAUCAGUCACACCGGAACUGAGACACGGUCCGGACUCCUACGGGAGGCAGCAGGUGGGGAAUAUUGGACAAUGGGCGCAAGCCUGAUCCAGCAAUGCCGCGUGUGUGAAGAAGGCCUUGGGUUGUAAAGCACGUUUUAAGUUGGGAAAGAAAAACUACGCUACUACACAGUGAGUCUUGACGUACGACAGAAUAAGCACCGGACUAACUC